GCUGCUACAAGAAUUAUGCCUUAACUUGAUGGACAGUGAUUUUCAAAGACCUUUCAGAGUUUUCUGAUGCCCUUUCCUGAGUGCUGCUCCAUGGUCCAACAGAGCCCCUGACCAGCCUCUUUGAAAGAAAGCUCUCUGAUGCACAACUUUUCCUAGCAGUAGAUCAAGAAUGAUGCUAAGUCCACUGCUACCAGUAUGGCUCAGUCAAAAAGAUGAGAAAUGCUUCAACAUCAAUCAAUAC